UACGUAGGUGGCAAGCGUUGUCCGGAAUCACUGGGCGUAAAGCGCGCGCAGGCGGCGAUCUACGUCUGGGGUGAAAGCCCGGAGCUCAACUCCGGGACUGCCUUGGAUACGGGAUCGCUUGAGGAUUGGAGAGGCAAGGGGAAUUCCACGUGUAGCGGUGAAAUGCGUAGAUAUGUGGAGGAACACCUGUGGCGAAGGCGCCUUGCUGGCCCGAUACUGACGCUGAGGUGCGAAAGCGUGGGGAGCAAACAGG
rnacentral:rRNA from 1 species